UCCGUAGGUGAACCUGCGGAAGGAUCAUUACCGAGUUGAUUCGGGCUCCGGCCCGAUCCUCCCACCCUUUGUGUACCUACCUCUGUUGCUUUGGCGGGCCGCGGUCCUCCGCGGCCGCCCCCCUCCCCGGGGGGGUGGCCAGCGCCCGCCAGAGGACCAUCAAACUCCAGUCAGUAAACGAUGCAGUCUGAAAAACAUUUAAUAAACUAAAACUUUCAACAACGGAUCUCUUGGUUCUGGCAUCGAUGAAGAACGCAGCGAAAUGCGAUAAGUAAUGUGAAUUGCAGAAUUCAGUGAAUCAUCGAAUCUUUGAACGCACAUUGCGCCCUUUGGUAUUCCGAAGGGCAUGCCUGUUCGAGCGUCAUUACAACCCUCAAGCUCUGCUUGGUAUUGGGCACCGUCCUUUGCGGGCGCGCCUCAAAGACCUCGGCGGUGGCGUCUUGCCUCAAGCGUAGUAGAACAUACAUCUCGCUUCGGAGCGCAGGGCGUCGCCCGCCGGACGAACCUUCUGAACUUUUCUCAAGGUUGACCUCGGAUCAGAUAGGGAUACCCGCUGAACUUAAGCAUAUCAAUAAGCGGAGGA
rnacentral:rRNA from 1 species